AGAUGUGAGGGCGAUCUGACUGUAGCAUCUGUCACCCCGUUGAUCACUACGGUUGACUCGGCCGAUCUGGCUGGCUAGGCGGUGUCCCCUUCCUCCCUCACCCCUCCAUGUGCGUCCCUCUCAAAGCUUCAUGCUCAGUCGAAGAGGACGACCACCCCCGACAGAGAAGGACCGUUUCCUCGGUCAAGGGUAUACAAGUAGCUGCACUCCCCCGCUAGAGCCUCCAAACAAGCUCUCAAGGGCAAGUAAAAGUUAAUUUAGAGUCACACAUGAGCAGAUCAGUGACUGCAAAAGCAGGACAAUAUCU
ensembl:misc_RNA 7SK 7SK RNA